GUCUCUCUUUUUCUUGAAACACAGAGAGCUGAAGAACUCCUUCCUGCGAAGCUAUUGAAGAGGUUUUAAUCGCAGGUGCUAAUCGAUUCUCUCCUUCAAAGACCAUAUUCCGAUUUUUUUUUUCUGUUUCUUCGCAGCAAACGAAGAAUGAAGACAUAUCAUUUUUCUUUUCUUUUUUUUUUUCCCCAGAUUUCUGUUUCCUCUUUUUUCAUUUUUUUUUUCCAGAUUUUUGUACUCCUUGGCAGCAAACGACCCCCUCCGCUCCAAUGACGACUCCUCUUCUCGUCAGAACAAGAGAAUUCACUUUCUCCCAAGUUAUUGCAUGCCAUGCUAUAUUUAUAGCUUGGCUUAAAUUGCUGAUUAGCCUCAUUCGAAGACGGAGACAAGGGACAUUGCAGAAAGAAGUCCUGAGAUUAGAACAAGAUGGCUAAAGAAUCGAGAAUAGUUCCAACAAAGUUGAACCAGUUGGAACAAAGCUACCAAGCCAUAAAUGCAUAUUGCUAUCAAAAAAAUCCCCACGUUCAAAACAGAUAUGACUCUCUGUUCUAAACUCACUCAAAGACCAUGGGAAUUUUUCUGAUAGCAAUAUGCAUUUAUGGCUUGGUAGCUUUGUUCCAGCUGGCUCAGCUUUGUUGGAACUAUUUUCGAUUCUUUAGCCAUCUUGUUCUGAUCUCAGGGCUUCUUUCUGCAAUGUCCCUUGUCUCCGUCUUCGUCCCAAAUCGGCUCCAUUGACUUUACUACAUGAUUUGGCUCGUUUUCUUUGUCAUUGUUGUGGGUCUAGUGACAUGGGACUUGUUUUUUCGUCGUCUCAACCAAUGGCUUUACAAAAAGAAUUACAACGGCGAUGCUUAAUUCGUUUACAAGUUUGGAGGGACUAGGACUGGAAUUGGAGCAGGAACAGGGACUAAGAUUGGAAUUGGAGCAAGAACGGGGACAUAUUUUAUAGAUGUGUAGUAUUCUCAAUUGCCAUUGCAAAAACACGAUAAUAAAAUAUGAUCAUCAUAACAAUAUUAAUUCUUUGAUGGGUUUGCAUUGUGAGUUUUCAGGUUGAUCUUCAUGUACUCGUUUCUUUUACCUUGUUGGCAAGUGAUAUAUACAUUAGAGUGACUUUAAUAUGGUGAGCUCUAAUUUUCGGUUA